AACCUAGCACACCUGCGGUGUGUACCUGCGGAAGGAUCAUUACCUAGAGUUGUAGGCUUUGCCUGCUAUCUCUUACCCAUGUCUUUUGAGUACCUUACGUUUCCUCGGUGGGCUCGCCCACCGAUUGGACAAAUUUAAACCCUUUGCGGUUGAAAUCAGCGUCUGAAAAAACUUAAUAGUUACAACUUUCAACAACGGAUCU
rnacentral:misc_RNA from 1 species